AUUGAACGCUGGCGGCAUGCCUUAAACAUGCAAGUCGAACCGUAACAGGUCUUCGGAUGCUGACGAGUGGCGAACGGGUGAGUAAUACAUCGGAACGUGCCUAGCAGUGGGGGAUAGCUACUCGAAAGAGUUGCUAAUACCGCAUGAGAUCUACGGAUGAAAGCAGGGGAUCGCAAGACCUACUGCUACUAUAGCGUCCGGUGGCAGAUUAGGUAGUUGUUGGGAUACAAGCUUACCAAGCCGACGAUCUGUAGCUGGUCUGCGAGGACGAUCAGCCACACUGGGACUGAGACACGGCCCAGACUCCUACGGGAGGCAGCAGUGGGGAAUUUUGGACAAUGGGCGAAAGCCUGAUCCAGCAAUGCCGCGUGCAGGAUGAAGGCCUUCGGGUUGUAAACUGCUUUUGUACGGAACGAAAAGCCCCGGGUUAAUACCCUGGGGUCAUGACGGUACCGUAAGAAUAAGCACCGGCUAACUACGUGCCAGCAGCCGCGGUAA
rnacentral:rRNA from 1 species